GCCCAGGGCAGUGCAGACACUGGUUGAGGUGGCCCAGCCAGUGAGGAAUUCGCGUGGGGGGACAGGCCAGCCCAGGGAGCUGCACGUGACGAGCCUGGACAUGUCACUUUGCUAUUGACGGAAGCAUAUUGGGGUUGGGACGCGCCUUAGGAAAGACGGAGGUGGCAGAGCAAUGCAUCUCCGGGUCUGAACGUGCUCUGCCAUGCAGCGGCUUCUGACCCCAGGCUGGUGACUCAGCCAGCCCUGCGCCGAAUCCUCCUUCGUCAGCGGCCGCUCAUAAGAACAAUACAGGCUCAAUGAGGCAGGGAUAUCCCGUCUGCCUGUGGUGCCUGGCAUACUAUACACAUAUCCAUGGUCACGCAGCUAAGUAGACAAAAGCCAUUAGUGCCAGGAUCCUGCAGCUAGCACACACAGGUGGCAGACCCUGCUGACUUUGUUCCCCUGCAGGCUAAGAUUGGCUGUCCAUUUUUUUACAGGGGAGUGGUUUCAUGACCCAAAACCAAACAAACUCACUGCCAUCAAGGGGAUUCCAACUCAGAGCAACCCUGUAGGACAGAGCGGAGCUACUGCCUAGGAUCUCAGAGAUGGUGAUUCUUUAUGGGAGCAGACAGCCUCAUCUUUCCCGUGGAGCAGCUUGGGAGAGGCUCCGCUGGCCUGGCACCACACAGCCCGUGGCAUCUUCCCCAGAAGCGCCUCUGCCAAGCGCAGCCCCCUCGACCUGCGAUUUCUGAUCGGCCGCAUUGAGGGCAAGGAGCGGUAGGCCGCUGGCAAGAUGGGUGAAAGGAAAGGUGUAAACAAGUAUUACCCUCCAGAUUUCAAUCCUGAAAAGCAUGGCUCUCUCAACCGCUACCAUCACAGCCACC